CCUUCUGAUGAACUCGACGGAAGCUCCACAGUCUAUCAGCUCCAUGUGAAGAUAUAAUGAGCACACUGCUGUCACAAACCUGUGGACUUGUUUUGUCCUAUGAAAUACUUGAACAGUUUUUUGUCUCAGUGCUGAAAGGACUGUUGCUGGUCUUGUAGAUGACAACUCUGUUCACCCCCAGCAACUGCAGCAUCUCCAGACUCUGGACCAGCUACAGAGGAACACAGGUUGACAGGCUGACACACUCUAGAGGCAUGAAAAUAAUAGCCUAUAAACAACAAGGAGUUAACAAGCGUGACUUCCAGUUGACCUUUUAGGAACCACAACAAUCCCUGAUAUGUGAAGGGCCAUUGCGGUUUGUGAGAGGAAGCCUCAGGGGGAUUAAAACCAUGAAACAAGAAGAAGCAAGAUG